AAUAUUUUCUAAUAAAUAAUAAUAUAUAAAUUUAUAAAAUAUAAUUUUAUUGUAAAUUUUUAGAUAAAUAUAAUGUAUAAAUUUAUAUUGAUUUGAAAUAAAUUAAAACUAGUGUAGUGGCCCGCGUGUUGUGCGGGUAGAUAAUAUACGAUAUUUAACUUUAGUUUUUGUACUAAAAUUUUUUCUUCAUUUUCUUUAAAUUAUAAUAUUUAAUUAUUUUCGUUACUAUCAUACUUUCAACAUAAAGAACAAACAAAGAGAAAGAAAAAUAGAACUAUAAAAAAAAAAAAUUUGAUAUAUAGAUAGCCUGAAGAAAUAUUUGAGAUCUUAUAAAGAAGCUAAAAAGACAAAAUAGUAAAUAUAUAAGAAAAAUUAAAAAUUUUA
rnacentral:lncRNA from 1 species